UGGGGGCAGAACCCCUAUAAGUUUUUGCACAUCACCCAAAUGCGGAGGAAAAGAAAAUAACAAUGAUUCCCUCAGUAACGGCGAGUGAACAGGGAAAAGCUCACAGUUGGAACCUAGCUGCCUUAGGUAGUUCGGAUUGUAAACUGAAAAAGUGUUAUCCAGGCUAGCCGAGUAAAUAAGUUUCUUGGAAUAGAACAUCAUGGAGGGUGAGAAUCCCGUCUUUGGCUUGAGCAUAGUCUUUUGUGUUGCACUUUAACGAGUCAGGUUGUUUGGGAAUGCAGCCUAAAGUGGGAGGUAAAUCCCUCCUAAAGCUAAAUAUUGGCGAGAGACCGAUAGCAAACAAGUACCGUGAGGGAAAGAUGAAAAGAACUUUGAAAAGAGAGUUAAACAGUAUGUGAAAUUGCUAAAAGGGAAGCGUUUGAAGACAGACUAGCUUGGUUAUAAUCAGCCUGGAUUUUUCUUGGUGUACUUGUAGCCUAUGCUUGCCAACAGCAGUUUGGUCUGGCUGAAAAAACUAGUAGUAAGGUGGCUCUCUUCGGGGAGUGUUAUAGACUAUUAGAAAAUCAGUUGGACUGGACUGAGGAAUGCAAUGCAGCUUGCCUUGGGGUGAACCAGAUUGGAUAGGAACCAUUGUU
rnacentral:rRNA from 1 species